ACUGUGUUGAAAAAGAGUGUUUUGCAGCUGAGAAUUUUCUCUACUAUACAGCUCUUUGUGUCUGUUGUAGUUUCUAUGGAAAUAAAUAAAAGGCAUUACUUUUGGAGCAAUCUACAUGGAUGGGCUCAUUAUUUGAAACUGGAUCAAGCUUAACCAAGAUGUUUUUGUGCAUCAGCACCAUGUGUCACGAGGACAGGCUGAGACACCUCAUGCUCAGAUUCAUGAAAAGCCAUUGCUUUAGCCAAACUUCCUCUGGCGAUUCUGCAGAUCAAUAGUUGGGUGACAAGUUAGAAGCGGCAGUGCCCUUCAUUCUGAGAUAGUACUGAACUCGCAUUGUUCCUGUACAGCUUACAAGCAAAAGAUGGAGUGUCAGCCUUUACAUCACUGCUGUAUCAGUGGAAGAAAAUCAGAAGUUGAGCAGUCCCUUGCUUUUCUUGGUUCAGACGAUGUAGUGCAAGGUGAAGUUUCAAGUUCCAAACUAUUUCCUAUGAUCAACGAGGAAAGAAAGCUUGUGGUGAAAGAACUGAGAGUGGAGAGAUGGCAGUUUAUCAGCUUUGGUCUGUUGUAAUGGAGUAUGUAUACUUGUGUGUUAUAGGUUUCCAGUUUUCCCACCGUGCUCUAAAAGCUGUAUUCAAAGUAGGGGAGCACUUUCCUCCAUUAUCAGUGAAUCUGCUUUUGACAUCCUGUAAAAGGCCUAUGCAAAUAGUCUUCAAAGAGGAGUAAAUGAAAGACACUAGUGAAAAGCAAAGUAUGACCAGGGGGCAAAGAUCUGUCAAAAACACUUUAUCUUUCUUUGUUAUUGAGACAUGGACAGAUGUUUGUUCAUAACAAAAUGCCUGAGUUGGGGAUUUUGAAAGGCCUGAUCAGGAACUGUAUUUAAUUGCUGUUAAGAGUGCAGCCAUGUCCUAGCCGCAGCUUGGGUUGCUUGUCCUAAACUGCUGUUUGUGGGGAUCCUAGAGGUAGAGCAGAAGUGUAUAUGCUUUUGCUGAGAUAGGGCUGUCAGUUCAGAAACACACUAAACAUCUGCUUUGGCUGAGCCCUGCGGUUAAACUAGAUUAAAGCUCCGUAUUAAAAUGAUCAUCAGUCAAUCAGAAUGCUUCCUCGGUCUGAGAAACAUAACAUCACGCUCAGCAUUGCAGUUUCCAAAGAAGCUGUUGUGUUGCAGUAAAUUAAUAAAUAAAUAAAGAAAUAAACAGUGACAUAUUUCUCAAUUGUGGUUUGUUUGGCAUAUACGACAUCACAAACUAAUGUUUAUCCUAGGAUCAAACAACUUUGAGUUUGCUGUCCUAAAUGAUUUUGAAUUUAGCUAAUUGUUCCAGGCACCUCUCAGCUAUUAACUCUAGUUAGCAAAAUGAAGUGUAAUUAAUGUUUGUCUAGUUUUUGGAGUGUUUCCAAGAAAGCUGUAGCACAGACCACAAAUUUGUGUUGUUUCAAUGGCGCAGAAAUCAUUUUCCUUUAAUUUCAACCCCUGGAUAACCAUUAAAGAUUACCAGGCUGCAGGUCUGAUGAAUUAUAGGCAUAUGAGUUGCCAGGAAAGUUCUGUUUUAUUAAUAUGAGGAAAGCCAUUAUUACAAAAAGAACACUCGACCCUGCCAAACAAACCAAGAUAAUUCUCUUCUGUUGGCAUUUGUCUGUGAGCUAGUUGUCAUGUGUACAUAAAUAAGAGUUUUCCAUAGACAAGUUGAUAAUAAUUGAAUAGAUGUGUCUUACGUUACAAUUUGCAAUUGUAGUGUAAAGUGCUUGCUGUAGGUGUAAGGUAUUCUUG